UGAAUUAUGUCUUUUAAGCACUUGAAUAUCUUUUUAAUAACAUGUAAACAUAACUAUUUAAUAUUACCUUAAAAGCAAAUACACAUGCACAUACUGAACAUGAUGUCAGUUCAACUUAUUGUAAGGUGAGGAAGAGAUCCAAUCAUGCUCCAAUAAAGUUUGUGAUAUUUGGCUUCUUAUAUCAAGUUUUGUAAAUGUGCUUAUAGAAGUUGAACUUAGCUUUACAUUUUCUAUAUCAUGUUUCUUUAAAAAAUCUUUAAUUUAUUUAU
rnacentral:lncRNA from 1 species